rnacentral:lncRNA from 1 species
GGAUUUUCCUGGCGACUCUGCAGGGCUUGGAAUCUGACCUUGAGGCACUAUUUUACAGCUAGCUGCAAUGGGUUGAAAGGCUGAAUUUCCAUGAGAGCCAAAGGGAACUUUCUGUGUGGCUAAUUUGGUGGGAGUCCGUUCUAUCGAAGAUGGCAGGGAAUAAAACGUGGCAUGUCUUUCAGUUUCAGCAUUCCCAGGGAAUCCUUUGUCAACAGACGCAUCUGGG